GUUCAGUUUUCAACACAGAAGACAUCGAGAAGUUUGAGAAGAUUGAAAUCCUUUAGUGAUAUACAUCUAUUUGAUCAAGAAGUGUGAUUAUCAGAGACUCCCAUAGAAGAUCUUCAAAAGGUAGUGAAAGUAAUAAAGGCACCACUGGAAGUGAUAAAAAUGUAUCAAAGUGAAAAAGCAUCCAAUAGAGUUGGAACUUCAAGCUGCAGUCAACCAAAUUCCGAACAGCCAGAAUAAAAAGAUCAAAGUGUUGCUUCAGCAGCACCUUCUUCGA